ACGUAGGGAGCGAGCGUUGUCCGGAUUUACUGGGUGUAAAGGGUGCGUAGGCGGCUCUGCAAGUCAGAAGUGAAAUCCAUGGGCUUAACCCAUGAACUGCUUUUGAAACUGUAGAGCUUGAGUGAAGUAGAGGUAGGCGGAAUUCCCGGUGUAGCGGUGAAAUGCGUAGAGAUCGGGAGGAACACCAGUGGCGAAGGCGGCCUACUGGGCUUUAACUGACGCUGAGGCACGAAAGCAUGGGUAGCAAACAG
rnacentral:rRNA from 1 species